AGAGUUUGAUCAUGGCUCAGGACUAACGUUGGCGGCGUGCGUAAUACAUGCAAGUCGAACGGGGUGGGGGCAACUCCACUCAGUGGCGAACGGGUGAGUAACACGUGGAUGAUCUACCCUUCAGAUCGGGACAACCAGCCGAAAGGUUGGCUAAUACCGGGUAUGACCACGGUCAGUAUCGUCUGGCUGAGGUAAGAGCAGGGGACCGCAAGGCCUUGCGCUGAAGGAUGAGUCCGCGGCUGAUUAGCUAGUUGGCGGGGUAACGGCCCACCAAGGCGACGAUCAGUAGCCGGCCUGAGAGGGUGACCGGCCACACUGGGACUGAGACACGGCCCAGACUCCUACGGGAGGCAGCAGUAGGGAAUUUUCCACAAUGGGCGAAAGCCUGAUGGAGCAACGCCGCGUGGGGGAUGAAGCAUUUCGGUGUGUAAACCCCUUUGGAGCGGGAAGAACGCCAUCCGGGUGAACAAUCCGGGUGGGUGACGGUACCGCUAGAACAAGACACGGCUAACUUCGUGCCAGCAGCCGCGGUAAUACGAAGGUGUCGAACGUUGUCCGGAAUUAUUGGGCGUAAAGGGCGCGUAGGCGGCCAGGUAAGUGAGAUGUGAAAGCUCUGGGCUCAACCCAGGAAUUGCAUUUCAUACUGCUUGGCUAGAGUUCGGUAGAGGAGGGCGGAAUUCCUGGUGUAGCGGUGAAAUGCGUAGAUAUCAGGAGGAACACCCGUGGCGAAGGCGGCUCUCUGGUCCGAUACUGACGCUGAGGCGCGAAAGGUAGGGGAGCAAACAGGAUUAGAUACCCCGGUAGUCC
rnacentral:rRNA from 1 species